CAGAGACGCACACAAAUAACGUCGGAAAUUAAACAAAAGGAAUUGAAUGGUGUGCGUUCACCAGUGAGAAUGGGGAUGUGCCCAAAACAAAGGGCUGGGCUACGACAACACAUACUCCUCUACACACCUGCCAACCUUCUGGCCAUCGAGACUUUAUUGCAGUUCAAGCAGGUUGAUUGUGAAUUCUCUCUCACGAACAUCCGAGCAUCUCCAGCCAACAGGAUGACCCGCGCUGUCUUGUCCAUCCUGGUGAUCUUUGUGUGUCUUGCACCGAUGCUGGAGGUCAACAGCACACAGGAUGACUACAAGAAGGCGAUUGAAGCUGUCGAAUUGUCCAUCAAUUCCUUGAAGGAACAAUUCAAAUUUAAGAUGGACGCCGAAGCUGACCAAUUAACAGAGCAUAUUCGUAUAGUGGACGGUAUGUUGGACGUCCUACAAAAUACUGGGCCUGAGUAUUCGGCAGCCAAGAAGCAAUUUGAGACAUCGAAGAAGAUUCUGGCUAAAGUACAAGCUCAAUUGCCCCUGAACAAUGAAAACAUUGAGCGCCUUUUGGAGUCCAUCCGGGAGCUAUUCAAAGGCCCCGAUGAAACCAAGGUGAACAAAGAUGAAUUAUAAUCACACCUUAUCAACAUUAGCAUUAGUUGAUGCGUUGGUAAACAUUAUAAUCCGGCAUUAGCAUUGGGGUUAGUGUGAGUGUGUUCUUCAUCGCUGAUGCGUCACUGCGUCACACACAGGAUGAUGGAGGCUGGAACCUGUUGGCCCGUGGCAGAAAGUGUCAGUCAGGGUCAGAUAGUUUUGGUUUCUGACUGCUUUAUUUGUGGUUUUUGUGGUGGGAUUAAGUUUAACUAAGUGCACAUUUGGUCUACCUUUUCACAAUACCUAUUCUGUCUGCGUUUGUAUACAGAUCUUGUAAACUCUCCUUAGUUACUGGUUAA
ensembl:lncRNA